AUCAUGGCUCAGAUUGAACGCUGGCGGCAGGCCUAACACAUGCAAGUCGAGCGGAUGACAGGAGCUUGCUCCUGAAUUCAGCGGCGGACGGGUGAGUAAUGCCUAGGAAUCUGCCUGGUAGUGGGGGACAACGUUUCGAAAGGAACGCUAAUACCGCAUACGUCCUACGGGAGAAAGCAGGGGACCUUCGGGCCUUGCGCUAUCAGAUGAGCCUAGGUCGGAUUAGCUAGUUGGUGAGGUAAUGGCUCACCAAGGCGACGAUCCGUAACUGGUCUGAGAGGAUGAUCAGUCACACUGGAACUGAGACACGGUCCAGACUCCUACGGGAGGCAGCAGUGGGGAAUAUUGGACAAUGGGCGAAAGCCUGAUCCAGCCAUGCCGCGUGUGUGAAGAAGGUCUUCGGAUUGUAAAGCACUUUAAGUUGGGAGGAAGGGCAUUAACCUAAUACGUUAGUGUUUGACGUUACCGACAGAAUAAGCACCGGCUAACUCUGUG
rnacentral:rRNA from 1 species